AUCGUAGAUGUUGAUCAUUCAAAAAGGGAGAUGUAUUUGUACGCACUCGAAACGGAACGCAAGCUCACAAUAAGCGUGGGACCCAUUCUGAGUCAUCGAAGGAGCUACCAGACGACGCGAAUUUCAAAUUUUUACUUAAACCGCUCUACUCACUCAAAUCUGUAUUAAAUCAAUUCAAAGUAUAAAGAGAGCAGAACAAACAAAGGAACGGAAAGGAAACAAACUUCAGAUUUUAAAGGCCUUUCCUUUAUCUACAGAUUUUAUUGUUUCGAUAUCGAUUGAGAAAAAUUCCCUCUGGGUAAGAGUUUCAGAUUUUGUGAUUAUGGAGACCAAGUUACCGAUGACUAGUCAUGGACGAGAAAAAGCGGUUCGGGUGGUGGCUAGGAUCAAGCCAUCAGCAGCAUAUCCGAGUGUAAAAUCAUCAUCAUCAUCAGCUGUAUCAUCAGUUCACAAACCCAACGGUGAUAAAUCCGAGGCUGUUUCCAUUUCGUUCGGAGCUCAAUUCCCUGGUUCGAAAGAUUCAUAUAAGUUGGACUACUGCUACGAAGAACACGAAACCACGAGUUUAAUUCUCACCAUGGAGAUUAAGCCUCUUAUCUCUACCGUCUUUGAGGGUAAAGAUGCUAAUGUGAUUGCACACGGAGCCAGAUGUAGUGGAAAAACACAUCUUAUUCAGGGGUCUGAGAAGGAACCUGGAUUAGCUGUCCUUACAAUGGAUGAGAUGUUAUCCAUGGCUGAGGAAAGAGGAUACUCGAUUUCAGUGUCGGUUUACGAGGUCUGUAAUGAAACAGUGUAUGACAUCUCAGACGAAGAAAAGAGAGCGGUGUCUGUACUAGAAGGUGCACAAGGGAAGAUCCAACUAAAGGGACUUUCUAAGGUACAUGUGAAGUCACUCUCAGAGUUCAAAGAAUUAUAUUUCGGUCUCAAGAAAACUCAGAAGCUGAAGGGUGAACCUCCUCUUCGGAGCCAUAGAGGUGUGAUGAUACAUGUAACUACUAAUGGUAGCAACGUCAGUUCAGGAUCCAUUGGGAGGAUGAACUUUCUUGAUUUGGCAGGAUAUGAGGACUCCAGGAAACAAAACAAUGGUCUCGGUCCUCUAGAGAUUACCAGAAUCAAUAAGUCGAUAUAUGCUUUACAGAACGUCAUGUAUUCCCUCAACGCAAAUGAAUCUCACGUGCCAUAUCGGGAGAGCAAACUCACUCGCAUGCUGAAAGACUGUUUACAAAGACCCAACAGAACGUUGCUGAUCACUUGUUUGCCUCGGGAACUCAGCCAAGACUCGUUUUACAUGCUAAACUUAGCUUCACGUAUCUGCUUAGGCAAUAACCGAGCCAUGGCUAAUGCAACUAAGAAGAGCUAUGGUCCUGCAAGAUCUAUUUCUUCAUCUUCUGUCGCUCAAAGGAGGCAAACACCUUUGAAUGUGACUGCUUCUUCUAAACAAAGGACUGAGCUAAGGGGGAACGUGAGUGAGAGAAAGAUUAAACUCAACACUUCCACUUCUGCAAUUAAAGGAAGGAAACUGUUCGGUGAAGCAAAUGGUUCGGUGAAAUCUAAAAAUAACUCUAAGAAGAUGGAAGGCAAAGAAAUGAUGGCAGUGAAAAAGGAAAUUUUCACUUCAAAAGUUGUCUUGAACGUUCAGUCCUCCGCAUCAGAAGAAGAAGUCUGCUCGCAAUUUAUUGUUACAGAUUCUCAAUCUUCUUUCCUAGUGAAGGAAAAUUCUGUCCCGGCUCUCUCAAGUUCCAAUAAUCUUCAGGACACACUUUGGAAACAUGAAGAAAGGUUUUCAGAAGCCACUAAUUGCGUUGACGCUGUUGCAUGCAAAGCUCAAAUUGUAGAGAGAGAUGACAACCGUUCAGACGCUGAAGAAGGUCUCACUCUGUUUUGUGAAGGUGAAAACUUGGAAAAAGAAAACACCAAUCUGCUAGCCAAUGAAAUUACAUCACCACCGCUCAGCCUGCGGCUUCAAGAGCUAUCCAACAAUUUGAAGUCCAUAUGUAAUACCUCAAACCAACCAUCAACACCUGAGAAGUACCAAGCUGCACUGACUAAAUAUCCUGAACAAGUACCAGAGCAUGGAGAUAUUACUGCUGAAGCUGAGCUAAGAACACCAGAGAGAAGUAUGCCUUUAAAUGUUGGGUUUAGUCCUUGGAAGACAUUCAGUGCGCACAGCUCUAAACUGAAGAACUCUGCGGUUGGUGAGUACCUCAAGUUCCUAAACACUGCAGAUAAGGAAGAUCUAAAGAAGCUAAAGGGCAUCGGAGAAAAGAGAGCGACUUAUAUAGUUGAGCUCCGACAAGAAUCUCCUGAACCAUUUAAGAAAUUUGUUUUCACAAACUCUCUUAGCUUUGAGGAGGGGCCUUAAUUGGCAUCAAAGCAACUUGUGUUCAAAGCUGGAUGACUUGAAAGAUAUUGGACUCUCAGAAAAACAGAUUAAGGGAAUGCUAAGGAAAGAGAUUGGAGAUAUUUUCCAGUAGCCGGACCGGAGUUGCUCCGCUAAGAGUUUGAAAGAUUCUGUAUAUGAUCAAUGGAAUAAUAAGUUAAGGUGUUUUGCGUGUAGUUCGUUUUAAUGACAACUGUGUCGUGACCUUCUACUGUCGGAUGAUUUGUGUGUGUGUUGUUGCAAUGUCAAAGAAUCAAAAUUUCAAAUCAAUCUUUCUUUAUUAUCUCGCUG